rnacentral:rRNA from 1 species
GGGAUUGCCCUAGUAACGGCGAGUGAAGCGGCAACAGCUCAAAUUUGAAAUCUGGCUCUUUCAGAGUCCGAGUUGUAAUUUGCAGAGGGCGCUUUGGCGUCGGCAGCGGUCCAAGUUCCUUGGAACAGGACGUCACAGAGGGUGAGAAUCCCGUACGUGGUCGCUAGCCUUCACCGUGUAAAGCCCCUUCGACGAGUCGAGUUGUUUGGGAAUGCAGCUCUAAAUGGGAGGUAAAUUUCUUCUAAAGCUAAAUACUGGCCAGAGACCGAUAGCGCACAAGUAGAGUGAUCGAAAGAUGAAAAGCACUUUGGAAAGAGAGUCAAACAGCACGUGAAAUUGUUGAAAGGGAAGCGCUUGCAGCCAGACUUGCCUGUAGUUGCUUAUCUGGACUUUUGUCCAGUGCACUCUUCUAUAGGCAGGCCAGCAUCAGUUUGGGCGGUUGGAUAAAGGUCUCUGUCAUGUACCUCUCUUCGGGGAGGCCUUAUAGGGGAGACGACAUGCAACCAGCCUGGACUGAGGUCCGCGCAUCUGCUAGGAUGCUGGCGUAAUGGCUGUAAGCGGCCCGUCUUGAAACACGGACCAAGGAGUCUAACAUCUAUGCGAGUGUUUGGGUGUCAAGCCCAUACGCGUAAUGAAAGUGAACGGAGGUGGGAACCUUAGGGUGCACCAUCGACCGAUCCUGAUGUCUUCGGAUGGAUUUGAGUAAGAGCAUAGCUGUUGGGACCCGAAAGAUGGUGAACUAUGCUUGAAUAGGGUGAAGCCAGAGGAAACUCUGGUGGAGGCUCGCAGCGGUUCUGACGUGCAAAUCGAUCGUCAAAUUUGGGCAUAGGGGCGAAAGACUAAUCGAACUAUCUAGUAGCUGGUUCCUGCCGAAUUCCCCCCC